UUUAUCAUCAAAGUUUUGCCCAGGCUGGGAUUUUUAAAGCGGUACCCGCAACUUCCCCUGCCCUAGAGCGCAGGUAGGGGGCGGGAUGGGGUGGAGGAAGCCACCCCAGAGACCCGGUUCCGGCAAAGCAUAACACAAUUAGCUUCAGAAACAGAAACACUAUUCAGCGGGAUAAGGAGGAAAACCAACCCACCUGCCGCCAGACGCAGCGCGCUCAGAGGGACUCCGCAACUUUGCUGGCAGGGCGGUGCCAGGGUCAGGGGUGCACUUGGGGGUGGAGGCGAGGGUGAGGGAGGGUAGGAACCUGGGCUGAGGCCCAGGAGACCUGGUUUGAGCCCUGCCGCAGCCUUGGGCUCCCUGUGUGAUCGUGUCUGCGUGUCUCCUCCUCUCUGAACCUCAUGAUCUUCAUCUGAGAAAUGGGAAUAACAGCUACCUCCAGGGAUCGUGGCCUUCUUCCCAACACGGCCAUGUCCGCCGCGGGUUCAGCACCACGGAGGAGGACAGCGCCAACCCCGACGCCGAUCUUUUCCGCCUCGUGGACGGCGCCUCGGCUGCCUCUCAGAUGCGAGGAUUCAGCACCGUGGACAGAGCCCCCGCCCCCCGGCCCCGCCGAAUGGGAGCAUCGCAGACGGCCCACUCCCCGCUCCAGACCACAGAUAAGGAAACUGAAGCUCAGAGAGAUGAAGUAACCUGUACAAGGUGCACAAUGAGGUGGGCAGAGGCUGGAUGUGAAAGGAUGAAUCCUCAGGCCGUAUGUUCCCCUGUGUAAUUCUGUCUCUUUCCUGCUUCACUGAUCCAAGCGCAAACAGCAGGCACAGUGGAAGGUUAGGGCCCAGUGGAGGCAGGAGGUAAACAGACUAUCCUGGGAAAUCGUCUCUAGGAAUUCUCUGGGGGGGCCAUGACUCUUGUCACUCCUUCACUCUGGGAAUGCUCCAGGCGAUAGUAAGCUUCCCACCCCUGGAGGCAAUUAAACAAGCAUCUGGUGGUCUCAUGGAUGCCACGAGGCAAAUAUCACUGCAAUUUCCAUCACCCAAAUGAGGCUCAGAAGGUGAACACCGUGUCAAGUAUUUCAGCUGGGAAAGCUGACCUUUUUCAAGUUGCUCCCCAGCAGGGAAUCUCGCACUGUCCUCUCCCCCUGACCCAAGCUUCCUGGAGAGUCUCCACCCUCCCCUUGACUACCGGAGGCCACCCUCCCUCCCCCUCGUGAGAGGUGUCACUUGAGCACCACGGCUCUGUCAGUGUAACAGCCAUAAGAUUUGUCCUUUUAAUCCAGAAUCAAUAACAAAUUUCAUUUAAAAAUAAAUUAAACCAGGCAUUGGAAAUCAUUCACCGUGUGGGCCAGGGCCCUAUAUAGCGCCGUCUAAAUGGCUUCCUUUCGCUCAUCUAUCACUGCCAAGAGGGGGGAAAUACCUAAGCUGCCUGAUUCAUGGAGAAAGUACUUAAAUGUAUCAGCCCCUAACAAUGAGCAAUGUGAGCCCGGAGUCGCACCUUUUAACACACCAAUGACAUGUGGAGCGCAGACUCAUGAGAGCUUAUCAGAGACCCCACAGUCACUGGCUUUGAGGGAACCCAUUUACAAGGGGGAACAAUGGCUUCAGUAUGGAGCCGCCUAAUUUCCAGAAUGCAUUACUGAGCUCAGAGGAGCAAUGGAAUUCUAUUAAACUCUUAUCUGCCAUGGGAGGGUAUGAGACCGGCAGGGAAACCCAGACUUGGCAUAGACGUGCCCAGGAAACACCGGGGCUGGCCCUAGGAGGUGGGGGAACAAACCCGGGUUUGGGGGGG